rnacentral:rRNA from 1 species
UACGUAGGGGGCAAGCGUUGUCCGGAAUCAUUGGGCGUAAAGCGCGUGUAGGCGGCCAGAAAAGUCCGCUGUGAAAACUCGAGGCUCAACUUCGAGCUGUCGGUGGAAACUUUCUGGCUAGAGUCCGGAAGAGGAGAAUGGAAUUCCUGGUGUAGCGGUGAAAUGCGCAGAUAUCAGGAGGAACACCAAUUGCGAAGGCAGCUCGCUGGGACGUAACUGACGCUGAGACGCGAAAGCGUGGGGAGCAAACAGG